CCUACGGGAGGCAGCAGUAAGGAAUAUUGGUCAAUGGACGCAAGUCUGAACCAGCCACGCCGCGUGCAGGAAGACGGCCCUAUGGGUUGUAAACUGCUUUUGUUUGGGAAGAAACCCCUUUUGCGAAAGGGACUGACGGUACCAGACGAAUAAGCACCGGCUAACUCCGUGCCAGCAGCCGCGGUAAUACGGAGGGUGCAAGCGUUAUCCGGAUUUAUUGGGUUUAAAGGGUGCGUAGGCGGCCUGUUAAGUCAGAGGUGAAAGUCGGUAGCUCAACUAUCGAAUUGCCUUUGAUACUGGCAGGCUUGAAUGAAGUUGAAGAGGGCGGAAUGUGACAUGUAGCGGUGAAAUGCUUAGAUAUGUCCCAGAACACCGAUUGCGAAGGCAGCUCUCUAAGCUUGUAUUGACGCUGAUGCACGAAAGCGUGGGGAUCAAACAGGAUUAGAUACCCCGGUAGUCA
rnacentral:rRNA from 1 species